rnacentral:tRNA from 1 species
GGAGUCGUAUCGAAGUGGUCAUAACGGGGCGCACUCGAAAUGCGUUAGCCCUCCGGGGCCCGCGGGUUCGAAUCCCGCCGACUCCGCCA